rnacentral:rRNA from 1 species
CUGAUGUUUUAAAUGGCCGCAGUAUUUUAACUGUGCAAAGGUAGCAUAAUCAUUAGUCUUUUAAUUGGAGGCUUGUAUGAAUGGUUGGACGAAAUAUUAGCUGUUUCAUAUUAAAUUGAAUUAGAAUUUUAUUUUUUAGUUAAAAAGCUAAAAUGGUUUUAAAAGACGAGAAGACCCUAUAGAUCUUUAUAUUUUAUGUAUUAUAGUUAUUUAGAUUAUUUGAAUUAUGAUUAUAUAAAAUAUUUUAUUGGGGUGAUAUUAAAAUUUAAUUAACUUUUAAUUAGUAUUUACAUUAAUUUAUGAAUAAAUGAUCCAUUAAUAGUGAUUAAAAAAUUAAGUUACCUUAGGGAUAACAGCGUAAUUUUUUUGAAGAGUUCAUAUCGAUAAAAAAGAUUGCGACCUCGAUGUUGGAUUAAGAUAUAAUUUUGGGUGCAGCAAUUCAAUUAUUAAGUCUGUUCGACUUUUAAUUUCUUACGUGAUCUGAGUUCA